AGCAAAAGUUUUAGCUUUUGAAUCUGAUUUAACCAUUAAUAGGCCUUUGACUAGAUCUUAGGCCAGAAAUCAUGACAACUUGGUAUUAGAGCUGGUUGUCAUGGAAGAUUCAACGAGUGUGCAAGAUGAAUUAAGAGCCCUACUCCGCGAGGUACAAGCCCAGAACGAAUCCAGAUUGGCACAAUCAAAGUCACAAAUGGCAUAGUCAGAAUCGCAUCUGGAGGGGCAACUAUAGAACCUCUCCUGGCAAA
rnacentral:misc_RNA from 1 species